UACGUAGGGGGCAAGCGUUGUCCGGAAUUACUGGGCGUAAAGGGCUCGUAGGCGGCCAACUAAGUCAGACGUGAAAUCCCUCGGCUUAACCGGGGAACUGCGUCUGAUACUGGAUGGCUUGAGUUCGGGAGAGGGAUGCGGAAUUCCUGGUGUAGCGGUGGAAUGCGCAGAUAUCAGGAGGAACACCAAUAGCGAAGGCAGCUCGCUGGGACGGUACUGACGCUAAGGCGCGAAAGCGUGGGGAGCGAACAGG
rnacentral:rRNA from 1 species